rnacentral:misc_RNA from 1 species
CAAAUAACCUCUAAAGCUAUGCUGCUUUAUAAUUAAUAACAUGUAAAACAAUAGAACCAAGCAGAUUUACAUAUAUAACAGUGGACAGAUUGGAGAAACAAUAUAAAGCACAACAACUAAAAUAAGUAAUAAGAAUAGAAAAACAUGAUUUCAAGCAAAAUCAUCAUUCAUCACCUUGGUCCCGAUAGAAAAGAUGGCAAUAUUAAAGUUGUGGUUCCCUGCUCUGCCUCUCUUAUCGUUGCUGCUAUUGUUGUUGGAUUAUGCAAGGUGUAGUCUAGAUCAGCUUCCACGUCCAAAUUACCUUUUAGGACUUUAACCACAUCUGACAUGGAAGGCCUCCUUUUGUAAUCACUUUGCAGACACCAAAUUGCAACCUUCAUCACCUGAACAGCUUCUGAGUUAUGCAGUUGCAUAUCCUGAUUGCUUCCGUCAACCAUAACCACCAAUUGAUCCUCCUCUGCUUUUCUCAUGAAAAUUGGGAGCAAAUGCACGAAUUCCUCAGGCUGUGACCUUUCUAAAUUUUUCUUUCCACAAAAUACUUCCAUGACUACGAUCCCAAAGCUAUAAACAUCUGCCUUCUCUGUGAUUGCUGAGCUCAAAAAUUCAGGGGCCAAAUAGCCGGGAGUUCCUCUCAUCGUGGUUACCACUUGGCUUUGAUCCCUAUCAAUCAACUUACACAAGCCAAAAUCUGAUAUCUUCGCACGAAGUUUUUCAUCCAAUAGUAUAUUUUGGGGUUUGAUAUCUAAAUGUACUAUUCUCUGUCUACAUUCUUCAUGGAGAUAGGCCAGCCCCUUUGCUAUGUCCAGGAUAAUUGUCCUUCUAAUUUGCCAGUCUAAGGAAGCUAGCGAUUCUUUACAGAAAAUCCAUUUGUCUAAAGACCCAUUACACAUGUACUCAUAUACCAGAAGCCUUUCCAAUUUUUCUGCGCAGAAGCCAAUUAGCUUCACAAGGUUAACAUGGUGGAUGCUUCCUAUAGUCUUGACCUCAGCCAAGAAUUCUUUCUUCCCUUGGCCCAUAGCAUCAAGGCGCUUGACUGCAAUUUUAUCUCCGUUUUGAAGAGUGCCUUCAAAAACUGAUCCAAACCCUCCUCCUCCAAGCCUUUUCUUGAAAUCUCCAGUGGCUACUUUCAAUUCUUGGUAAGUGAAUCUCAUGGGCAUUCCUGAUAGAAAAUUAUCUUCUAUACAUUCCUCUUCAUCCCUUUUCUUCCUUAAAAACACAUACCAGAAGCCCAUGGCCAGAGCCACAACAAGGAAGCUUGCAAGUGUUAUGGAGCCUCCUAUGACUCCUGCAAAAAAUAUAGAAAGUAAGAUGAUGACGCUGAUGAUGAUGAUAAACAGCGUAACAGCUGUCUUAUUCCUCCAGAUAGCCAUGAG